GAUGAACGCUAGCUACAGGCUUAACACAUGCAAGUCGAGGGACCGGCGCCCGGGUGAGUAACACGUAUCCAACCUGCCCUUUACUCGGGGAUAGCCUUUCGAAAGAAAGAUUAAUACCCGAUGUAAAGGAUGGGGAUGCGUUCCAUUAGGUUGUUGGUGAGGUAACGGCUAACCAAGCCUUCGAUGGAUAGGGGUUUUGAGAGGAAGGUCCCCCACAUUGGAACUUCGACACGGGCCAAACUCCUACGCGAGGCAGCAGUGAGGAAUAUUGGUCAAUGGGCGUUAGCCUGAACCAGACAAGUAGCGGGAAGGAUGGAGGCUUAUGGGUCGUAAACUUCUUUUAGAUAAGAAUAGGUAUUAUAUGAAUAAGGAACGGCUAACUCCGUGCCAGCAGCCGCGGUAAUUC
rnacentral:rRNA from 1 species